CAAAACCCAAAACUGCCCUCUCUCUUCUCUCUCUUCUCUCCUCGACUCCGAGACUGUCGAGUCUGUGAUAAGGGCGAUCGGAGAGUGUGCCGAGGGGGCGAUCACUGUGUGGAGACGGAGCGACGGUGAGGCGAGGCCCAAGGCCGAGAUGUUCGUCGGGAUCUUGAAUUCGUUGGAUGUGAUGGCGUUCAUUGCUAAGGCUGGUGGGGAUCAGGAUAAGGUCAUAAGGACGCCGAUGUCUGAGGUUGUGAAGCCAAAUCAAGGCCUACUGAAGGAGGUCGAUCCCGGGACUAGGCUGGUUUUCUUGGAAAGAAAUCCAUCCAAUAGAAAAGCACACAUCAGCUUCAUUUUUCAAUAGGAAGUCUUAGAGUAGAACUCCUGAAAUAUACAUGGAAGUAAGAAACUCAAACAUGAGGAAAUUUCAUGCCGACCCACAUACACAACUAGAGGUGAAAGAUCUGGAGGAGAUUUCUUUUGGUGACUUAGAAAUGAAGCAAGAAGAUAUGGGAGAAAGUUGUUCUAAAAAUUGAUUGGUUGAACCAAAACUUGUGUGCCACUUGUAUUGUGUAUAUUAGUUUAGUUGUGUAAACAAUUAUUAUGGAUGACAAAUAAUGCAACAAGCUUGACCUUUAUUGUUCUUAUUGUA